rnacentral:rRNA from 1 species
UACGGAGGGUGCAAGCAUUAAUCGGAUUUAUUGGGCGUAAAGGGCGCGUAGGCUGAUCUGUAAGUCAGCUGUGAAAUCCCGGGGCUCAACCCCGGAACAGCAUUUGAAACUACAGAUCUAGAGGGUAGGCGGAGAAAACGGAAUUCCACAAGUAGCGGUGAAAUGCGUAGAUAUCUGGAGGAACACCGGUGGCGAAGGCGGCAUCCUGGACCGGUAUUGACGCUGAGGCGCGAAAGCUAGGGGAGCAAACGGG